rnacentral:RNase_P_RNA from 1 species
UUCGGGUAAUCGCUGUGCGUCUUUUAAAGGCGACAGAGGAAAGUCCAUGCUCGCACGGAGCUGAGAUGCCCGUAGUGAUCACGCCUGGUGAAACAAUAAGCCAGGGCAGUCGGUUUCCGACUGACGGCAGGGAAAGCAUCUACGUUCUUUUAGGAUAUGAUGCGAAUACCUUGAAGGUGCCACAGUGACGAAGCUUUGUUGGAAACGACAAAGGUGGAACGAGGUAAACCCCGUGAGCGAGAAACUCAAAUUAUGGUAGAGGCACUUUUUAUUGCGGAAAUGAACGCAGUAAGAGGCAGGUAAAACUCCUGCAGAUAGAUGAUUACCGCCCGAGUACGAGGUCACCCUAUGAUCGAUUGCAGUACAAAGGUACAGAACAUGGCUUACAG